GAAGCAUUUUUACGGAACAUUUUCGGAUGGGGAGGAAAAAUGACUGAGUGGCGGACGGGUGAGUAACGCGUGGAUAACCUACCAUAUACAGGGGGACAACAGUUGGAAACGACUGCUAAUACCGCAUAAGCGCACAGUGCCGCAUGGCACAGUGUGAAAAACUCCGGUGGUAUAUGAUGGAUCCGCGUCUGAUUAGCUAGUUGGUGAGGUAAUGGCCCACCAAGGCAACGAUCAGUAGCCGACCUGAGAGGGUGACCGGCCACAUUGGGACUGAGACACGGCCCAAACUCCUACGGGAGGCAGCAGUGGGGAAUAUUGCACAAUGGGCGAAAGCCUGAUGCAGCGACGCCGCGUGAGCGAAGAAGUAUUUCGGUAUGUAAAGCUCUAUCAGCAGGGAAGAAAAUGACGGUACCUGACUAAGAAGCCCCGGCUAACUACGUGCCAGCAGCCGCGGUAAUACGUAGGGGGCAAGCGUUAUCCGGAUUUACUGGGUGUAAAGGGAGCGUAGGCGGCAAGGCAAGUCUGAUGUGAAAACCCGGGGCUCAACCCCGGGACUGCAUUGGAAACUGCUUAGCUAGAGUGUCGGAGAGGUAAGUGGAAUUCCUAGUGUAGCGGUGAAAUGCGUAGAUAUUAGGAGGAACACCAGUGGCGAAGGCGACUUACUGGACGAUAACUGACGCUGAGGCUCGAAAGCGUGGGGAGCAAACAGGAUUAGAUACCCUGGUAGUCCACGCUGUAAACGAUGAAUACUAGGUGUCGGGUGGCAAAGCCAUUCGGUGCCGCAGCUAACGCAAUAAGUAU
rnacentral:rRNA from 1 species